UCGAGAAUCAUUCGCAAUGGGCGAAAGCCUGACGAUGCGACGCCGUGUGAGCGAAGAAGGCCUUAGGGUCAUAAAGCUCUUUCGCCUGGGAACAAGAGAGGUUGGCUAAUAACCAACUAAUUUGAGGGUACUAGGUAAAGAAGCACCGGCUAACUCCGUGCCAGCAGCUGCGGUAAUACGGAGGGUGCAAGCAUUAAUCGGAUUUAUUGGGCGUAAAGGGCGCGUAGGCGGGGAUAUAAGUCAGAUGUGAAAUCCUGGGGCUCAACCUCAGAACUGCAUUUGAAACUGUAACUCUAGAGGAUAGGAGGAGAAAACGGAAUUCCACAAGUAGCGGUGAAAUGCGUAGAUAUGUGGAAGAACACCGGUGGCGAAGGCGGCUCACUGGCUCGAUACUGACACUGAGGUGCGAAAGCGUGGGGAGCAAACAGGAUUAGAUACCCUAGUAGUCCCUGAGCGGGC
rnacentral:rRNA from 1 species